CCUACGGGUGGCAGCAGUGAGGAAUAUUUGUCAAUGGACGAGAGUCUGAACCAGCCAAGCCGCGUGAAGGAUGACGGCCCUGUGGAUUGUAAACUUCUUUUAUCAAGGAAUAAAACGAGGCACGUGUGCCUUUAUGCGUGUACUUGAUGAAUAAGGAUCGGCUAACUCCGUGCCAGCAGCCGCGGUAAUACGGAGGAUGCGAGCGUUAUCCGGAUUUAUUGGGGUUAAAGGAGCGUAGUGGGGUUGUUAAGUCAGUUGUGAAAGGUGGCGGCUCAACCGUAAAAUGGCAAUUGAUACUGGCAGUCUUGAGUAAAGUUGAGGUAGGCGGAAUUCGCGGUGUAGCAGUGAAAUGCUUAGAUAUCGCGAAGAACCCCGAUUGCGAAGGCAGCUUACUAGACUGUGACUGACAUUGAGGCUCGAAAGCGUGGGUAUCAAACAGGAUUAGAUACCCUUGUAGUC
rnacentral:rRNA from 1 species